rnacentral:rRNA from 1 species
GCUUAACACAUGCAAGUCGAGGGGCAGCAUGGUCUUAGCUUGCUAAGGCCGAUGGCGACCGGCGCACGGGUGAGUAACACGUAUCCAACCUGCCGUCUACUCUUGGACAGCCUUCUGAAAGGAAGAUUAAUACAAGAUGGCAUCAUGAGUCCGCAUGUUCACAUGAUUAAAGGUAUUCCGGUAGACGAUGGGGAUGCGUUCCAUUAGAUAGUAGGCGGGGUAACGGCCCACCUAGUCUUCGAUGGAUAGGGGUUCUGAGAGGAAGGUCCCCCACAUUGGAACUGAGACACGGUCCAAACUCCUACGGGAGGCAGCAGUGAGGAAUAUUGGUCAAUGGGCGAGAGCCUGAACCAGCCAAGUAGCGUGAAGGAUGGCUGCCCUAUGGGUUGUAAACUUCUUUUAUAAAGGAAUAAAGUCGGGUAUGGAUACCCGUUUGCAUGUACUUUAUGAAUAAGGAUCGGCUAACUCCGUGCCAGCAGCCGCGGUAAUACGGAGGAUCCGAGCGUUAUCCGGAUUUAUUGGGUUUAAAGGGAGCGUAGAUGGAUGUUUAAGUCAGUUGUGAAAGUUUGCGGCUCAACCGUAAAAUUGCAGUUGAUACUGGAUAUCUUGAGUGCAGUUGAGGCAGGCGGAAUUCGUGGUGUAGCGGUGAAAUGCUUAGAUAUCACGAAGAACUCCGAUUGCGAAGGCAGCCUGCUAAGCUGCAACUGACAUUGAGGCUCGAAAGUGUGGGUAUCAAACAGGAUUAGAUACCCUGGUAGUCCACACGGUAAACGAUGAAUACUCGCUGUUUGCGAUAUACUGCAAGCGGCCAAGCGAAAGCGUUAAGUAUUCCACCUGGGGAGUACGCCGGCAACGGUGAAACUCAAAGGAAUUGACGGGGGCCCGCACAAGCGGAGGAACAUGUGGUUUAAUUCGAUGAUACGCGAGGAACCUUACCCGGGCUUAAAUUGCAGAUGAAUUACGGUGAAAGCCGUAAGCCGCAAGGCAUCUGUGAAGGUGCUGCAUGGUUGUCGUCAGCUCGUGCCGUGAGGUGUCGGCUUAAGUGCCAUAACGAGCGCAACCCUUGUUGUCAGUUACUAACAGGUUCCGCUGAGGACUCUGACAAGACUGCCAUCGUAAGAUGUGAGGAAGGUGGGGAUGACGUCAAAUCAGCACGGCCCUUACGUCCGGGGCUACACACGUGUUACAAUGGGGGGUACAGAGGGCCGCUACCACGCGAGUGGAUGCCAAUCCCCAAAACCUCUCUCAGUUCGGACUGGAGUCUGCAACCCGACUCCACGAAGCUGGAUUCGCUAGUAAUCGCGCAUCAGCCACGGCGCGGUGAAUACGUUCCCGGGCCUUGUACACACCGCCCGUCAAGCCAUGGGAGCCGGGGGUACCUGAAGUGCGUAACCGCGAGGAGCGCCCUAGGGUAAAACUGGUGACUGGGGCUAAG